AUUGAACGCUGGCGGCAUGCCUUACACAUGCAAGUCGAACGGUAACAGGUCUUCGGAUGCUGACGAGUGGCGAACGGGUGAGUAAUACAUCGGAACGUGCCUAGUAGUGGGGGAUAACUACUCGAAAGAGUGGCUAAUACCGCAUGAGAUCUACGGAUGAAAGCAGGGGAUCGCAAGACCUUGUGCUACUAGAGCGGCCGAUGGCAGAUUAGGUAGUUGGUGGGAUAAAAGCUUACCAAGCCGACGAUCUGUAGCUGGUCUGAGAGGACGAUCAGCCGCACGGGGACUGAGACACGGCUCAGACUCCUACGGGAGGCAGCAGUGGGGAAUUUUGGACAAUGGGCGAAAGCCUGAUUCAGCAAUGCCGCGUGCAGGAUGAAGGCCUUCGGGUUGUAAACUGCUUUUGUACGGAACGAAAAGCCCCGGGUUAAUACCCUGGGGUCAUGACGGUACCGUAAGAAUAAGCACCGGCUAACUACGUGCCAGCAGCCGCAGUAA
rnacentral:rRNA from 1 species